rnacentral:rRNA from 1 species
GACGAACGCUGGCGGCGUGCUUAACACAUGCAAGUCGAACGGAAAGGCCCUGCUUUUGUGGGGUGCUCGAGUGGCGAACGGGUGAGUAACACGUGAGUAACCUGCCCUUGACUUUGGGAUAACUUCAGGAAACUGGGGCUAAUACCGGAUAGGAGCUCCUGCUGCAUGGUGGGGGUUGGAAAGUUUCGGCGGUUGGGGAUGGACUCGCGGCUUAUCAGCUUGUUGGUGGGGUAGUGGCUUACCAAGGCUUUGACGGGUAGCCGGCCUGAGAGGGUGACCGGCCACAUUGGGCCUGAGAUACGGCCCAGACUCCUACGGGAGGCAGCAGUGGGGAAUAUUGCACAAUGGGCGGAAGCCUGAUGCAGCAACGCCGCGUGCGGGAUGCCGGCCUUCGGGUUGUAAACCGCUUUCGCCUGUGACGAAGCGUGAGUGACGGUAAUGGGUAAAGAAGCACCGGCUAACUACGUG